AAUAGAUACCCUGGUAGUCCACGCCGUAAACGAUGAGUGCUAAGUGUUAGGGGGUUUCCGCCCCUUAGUGCUGCAGCUAACGCAUUAAGCACUCCGCCUGGGGAGUACGGCCGCAAGGCUGAAACUCAAAGGAAUUGACGGGGGCCCGCACAAGCGGUGGAGCAUGUGGUUUAAUUCGAAGCAACGCGAAGAACCUUACCAGGUCUUGACAUCUCCUGACCGCCCUGGAGACAGGGUCUUCCCUUCGGGGACAGGAUGACAGGUGGUGCAUGGUUGUCGUCAGCUCGUGUCGUGAGAUGUUGGGUUAAGUCCCGCAACGAGCGCAACCCUUGUCCUUAGUUGCCAGCAUUCAGUUGGGCACUCUAAGGAGACUGCCGGCUAAAAGUCGGAGGAAGUGGGGAUGACGUCAAAUCAUCAUGCCCCUUAUGACCUGGGCUACACACGUGCUACAAUGGGCGGUACAGAGGGCCGCGAACCCGCGAGGGGGGAGCCGAAUCCCAAAAAACCGGCUCUCAGUUCGGAUUGCAGGCUGCAACUCG
rnacentral:rRNA from 1 species